rnacentral:rRNA from 1 species
AGGUAGCUUAACCUCGGGAGGGCGCUUACCACUUUGUGAUUCAUGACUGGGGUGAAGUCGUAACAAGGUAACCGUAGGGGAACCUGCGGUUGGAUCACCUCCUUA